rnacentral:rRNA from 1 species
GAUGAACGCUAGCUAUAGGCUUAACACAUGCAAGUCGAGGGGAAACGGCAUUAUGUGCUUGCACAUUUUGGACGUCGACCGGCGCACGGGUGAGUAUCGCGUAUCCAACCUGCCCUUUACUUGGGGAUACUCCGUUGAAAGACGGCCUAAUACCCGAUGUAAUUCAUUGAUGGCAUCAGAUAUGAAUAAAAGAUUUAUCGGUAAAGGAUGGGGAUGCGUCUGAUUAGCUUGUUGGUGAGGUAACGGCUCACCAAGGCAACGAUCAGUAGGGGUUCUGAGAGGAAGGUCCCCCACAUUGGAACUGAGACACGGUCCAAACUCCUACGGGAGGCAGCAGUGAGGAAUAUUGGUCAGUGGGCGCAAGCCUGAACCAGCCAAGUAGCGUGCAGGAAGACGGCCCUAUGGGUUGUAAACUGCUUUUAUACGAGAAUAAUUUGAUGCACGUGUGCGUUAUUGCAUGUAUCGUAUGAAUAAGGACCGGCUAAUUCCGUGCCAGCAGCCGCGGUAAUACGGAAGGUCCAGGCGUUAUCCGGAUUUAUUGGGUUUAAAGGGAGUGUAGGCGGUUUGUUAAGCGUGUUGUGAAAUUUAGGUGCUCAACAUUUAACUUGCAGCGCGAACUGGCGAACUUGAGUGCACACAACGUAUGCGGAAUUCAUGGUGUAGCGGUGAAAUGCUUAGAUAUCAUGAAGAACUCCGAUUGCGAAGGCAGCAUACGGGAGUGUAACUGACGCUUAAGCUCGAAGGUGCGGGUAUCGAACAGG